AGCUCUUUUCCCUUGCGGCUCUCGGAGUUAGUGAAGAAGCGGAAGCCGUCCUUGCCGAAGCCCUUCAGCAGCACCAUGCGGGCGGAGGGCUUCCCAUCUCUGGGACGAAGAGCACGGCGCCACGGCACAAAAGGAAGGCCACGUGAGGACCCGGCGAAAAGGCAGCCACCUGCAAGCCAUGAGGACAGGCCUUACUGACCAACUCUGACAGCACCUUAAUCUUGGACUUCUAGUUUCCAGGGCUGCGAGAAAAUAAAUUUCAGUUGUUGUAGGCACCCUGGCCGUGGUAUUUUGCUGUGGCAGCCCUAGCAAAGUGGAGAGGCUCUAAGGGCAACCACAAGCAAUAAUGCGAUCAGCUGGUGCUUAGGGAUCAUGGAAGGUGUGGUUAUAUCAGAUCCCCUGCCCGGGGCUCUAGGGGACACCCAGGGCACAGCACCAGAGCCCUGCCUUCCAGGCCCCCCAUUUUAGUGAGGGGAGGGGGGACAAGAAGGGCUGGAUAAGAGGCUAAUCUGAGAGAUGUCUCCAUGACUGAUUAUCAAGUGAAUGAUACCGCCAGGCAUUGUCUACAUUUCCAGAGAGAGAGCUUCACGGAGAGGCCCCGGGAGACACAGCUCUUAAAUGGCAGCUGGGAACAGGGUCGGGACACUGAGGCCCAGAGAGGACAAGUCACUUUCCUGCCGCCACACAGCACGUUAAUAAAAGAGCUAGAACCAUAAAAUUGUCAUCCAUCCAACUGAGAGCUUCCUUAGUGUCCUCCUUCCUCUGUACCCACUCGUGGAAGGGC